GAUGAACGCUGGCGGCGUGCCUAAUACAUGCAAGUCGAGCGAACAGACGAAGAGCUUGCUCCUCAGACGAUAGCGGCGGACGGGUGAGUAACACGGGGAUAACCUACCUAUAAGACUGGGAUAACUUCGGGAAACCGGAGCUAAUACCGGAUAAUAUAUUGAACCGCAUGGUUCAAUAGUGAAAGACGGUUUUGCUGUCACUUAUAGAUGGAUCCGCGCCGUAUUAGCUAGUUGGUAAGGUAACGGCUUAACAAGGCAACGAUGCUUAGACGACCGGAGAGGCGGAUCCGCCACGCUGGAACUUCGCCACGGUCCGGACCCCUACUGGAGGCAGCAGUAGGUAAUCCUGCGGCAUGGGCGAAUGCCGGACAGAGCAACGCCGCGUGAGUGAUGGAGGUCUCCGGAUCGUAAAACUCUUUUUUGAUGGAAGAUCAAAUGUGUAGGUAACUAUCCACUUUUUGACGGUACCUAAUCAGAAAGCCGCGGCUAACUACGUG
rnacentral:rRNA from 1 species